rnacentral:rRNA from 1 species
UGCGCGGCGGCGGCCUAACCAUGCAAGUCGAGCGGGUAGCACAGAGGAGCUUGCUCUCGGGUGACGAGCGGCGGGACGGGUGAGUAAUGUCUGGGAAACUGCCUGAUGGAGGGGGAUAACUACUGGAAACGGUAGCUAAUACCGCAUAACGUCGCAAGACCCAAAAGGGGGACCUUCGGGCCUCUUGCCAUCACAUGUGCCCAGAUGGGAUUAUCUAUUAGGUGGGGUAAUGGGUCACCUAGGCGACGAUCCCUAUCUGGGCUGAGAGGAUGACCACCCACACUGGAACUGAGACACGGUCCACACUCCUACGGGAGGCAGCAGUGGGGAAUAUUGCACAAUGGGCGCAAGCCUGAUGCACCCAUGCCGCGUGUAUGAAAAAAGCCUUCGGGUUGUAAAGUACUUUCUCCGAGGAGGAAAGCAUUGUGGUUAAUAACCACAGUGAUUGACGUUACUCGCAGAAAAAACACCGCCUAACUCCCUGCCCCCAGCCGCGGGAAUACGGAGGGUGCAAGCGUUAAUCGCAAUUACUGGGCGUAAAGCGCACGCAGGCGGUCUGUCACGUCGGAUGUGAAAUCCCCGGGCUCUACCUGGGAACUGCAUUCUAAACUGUGAGGCUAUAGUCUUGUAUAGGGGGGUAUAAUUCCGGGGUAUCGCUGAAAUGCGUAUAGAUCUGGAGGAAUACCCGUGGCGAAAGCGGGCCCCUGUACAAAACUGAGA